GGGGUAUUAGCUCAUCUGGCUAGAGCGUUUGACUGGCAGUCAAGAGGUGACGAGUUCGAGUCUCGUAUACUCCA
rnacentral:tRNA from 1 species